rnacentral:rRNA from 1 species
AUUGAACGCUGGCGGAAUGCUUUACACAUGCAAGUCGAACGGCAGCACGGGGGCAGCCCUGGUGGCGAGUGGCGAACGGGUGAGUAAUACAUCGGAACGUGCCCGGUCGUGGGGGAUAACGUAGCGAAAGUUACGCUAAUACCGCAUACGAUCUGAGGAUGAAAGCGGGGGACCUUCGGGCCUCGCGCGAUCGGAGCGGCCGAUGUCAGAUUAGGUAGUUGGUGGGGUAAAGGCCUACCAAGCCGACGAUCUGUAGCUGGUCUGAGAGGACGACCAGCCACACUGAGACUGAGACACGGCCCAGACUCCUACGGGAGGCAGAAGUGGGGAAUUUUGGACAAUGGGCGCAAGCCUGAUCCAGACAUUCCGCGUGCAGGACGAAGGCCUUCGGGUUGUAAACUGCUUUUGUACGGAACGAAAAGGCUCUGGCUAAUACCUGGGGCUCAUGACGGUACCGUAAGAAUAAGCACCGGCUAACUACGUG